rnacentral:rRNA from 1 species
AUUGAACGCUGGCGGCAGGCCUAACACAUGCAAGUCGAACGGUAGCACAGAGAGCUUGCUCUCGGGUGACGAGUGGCGGACGGGUGAGUAACGUCUGGGAAACUGCCCGAUGGAGGGGGAUAACUACUGGAAACGGUAGCUAAUACCGCAUAACGUCGCAAGACCAAAGUGGGGGACCUUCGGGCCUCACACCAUCGGAUGUACCCAGAUGGGAUUAGCUAGUAGGUGGGGUAAUGGCUCACCUAGGCGACGAUCCCUAGCUGGUCUGAGAGGAUGACCAGCCACACUGGAACUGAGACACGGUCCAGACUCCUACGGGAGGCAGCAGUGGGGAAUAUUGCACAAUGGGCGCAAGCCUGAUGCAGCCAUGCCGCGUGUAUGGAGAAGGCCUUCGGGUUGUAAAGUACUUUCAGCGGGGAGGAAGGCGGUGAAGUUAAUAGCUUCACCGAUUGACGUUACCCGCAGAAGAAGCACCGGCUAACUCCGUGCCAGCCGCCCUGUAA